ACGGGUGAGUAAUGCUUAGGAAUCUGCCAUUUAGUGGGGGACAACAUUCCGAAAGGAAUGCUAAUACCGCAUACGUCCUACGGGAGAAAGCAGGGGAUCUUCGGACCUUGCGCUAAAUGAUGAGCCUAAGUCGGAUUAGCUAGUUGGUGGGGUAAAGGCCUACCAAGGCGACGAUCUGUAGCGGGUCUGAGAGGAUGAUCCGCCACACUGGGACUGAGACACGGCCCAGACUCCUACGGGAGGCAGCAGUGGGGAAUAUUGGACAAUGGGCGGAAGCCUGAUCCAGCCAUGCCGCGUGUGUGAAGAAGGCCUUUUGGUUGUAAAGCACUUUAAGCGAGGAGGAGGCUACUAGUACUAAUACUACUGGAUAGUGGACGUUACUCGCAGAAUAAGCACCGGCUAACUCUGUGCCAGCAGCCGCGGUAAUACAGAGGGUGCGAGCGUUAAUCGGAUUUACUGGGCGUAAAGCGUGCGUAGGCGGCUUUUUAAGUCGGAUGUGAA
rnacentral:rRNA from 1 species